GAAGAGGGGAAGAGAGGAGGGGACGACGCGGCUGGGUCCUUCCCGCCGUCACCGUUGUCGUUGAGGCGCCGGAGGAGAGAGAGAUUUGCUUUGCAAAGGCGUUGAGGGAGAGAGGGAGCCGCGUCUGCGGCCGAUCCGCCACCGAACUGCCGCACGCGGGGAGCCAUUGCCAUCGCGGAGAGAGAAGCGUCGCCGUUGAGCCAGAGUCGCCGCUGGAGGUUCUUUGCCGUCACCGUCUUCGUCAUCCUCGCGAGCUGUAGCGCCGCACAGUCCAGCCACCGUGACCUCCAUAGAGCCACCGUCGUUGCGCUGUUCCGCCGUCACCGCUGUUGCCCUAGAGCUCGUCAUUGAGCAGGACCGAGAUGAAAGAGAGCGCGAGCGAGAGAACAGAGAGUCUUAUUGAAGACCUCCCUUUGAAGGUGUCAAGUGUACAACCUGUAGACUCUGCUUCUAAUGAAAAAUUUGAAUCUCUGAGACUUAAUAAGUAUGUUCCAUCGUGCAUUCAACCUCUGGAAGUCAUGAUUCAGGUAUGGAUUUAUUCACCGGCAUUUACAUUGUGCAGGAAUUGUACAAAUCAGAUAUUAAAGGCUACCAUGGCAAUCCAGAUUUAAUGAAGAGUUGAGCUGGAGAAGCAAUCAUUUUGUGAUCUUAAAGUUGUGAAUAACAAAGAGAACUAUGUUGCUUUCAAGGUCAAGACCACUUCACCAAAGAAGUACUUUGUACGGCCUAACACUGGUGUUAUACAGCCCUGGGACUCGUGUAUCAUCAGAGUAGGUGCUGAGCUUUCAAAUGGUAGAGUGGCUGAAACAAAAGUUCUCGAGCGUUGAGAAGAAAGAAUAGCAAUACCAGAAACAAUUUAUCCUAGCAGAGUCUAAGUUGUAUUGCUCUCACGCCUAUGGAACAAUUCUGUUAAUAGUGUCUAUUUAGUGUUAGUGUAUAUAUCACCGUGUAUAAAACUAAGAUUGAGACAAGUGUAUUCACUCAACUAUAUUGAUAUG